UCACAGAUCUUGGAAUAGAUCAUAUUCCCAUCAGUCAAUGUAGAGAGAGCUUCUAAUACCUGAGGCCUUGAGUAGCAUCUUCAGAAGAAUUGUGCUUUGCUAGUGGGGCAAAUUUAGCCCUUGAAUAAAAACUGCUAUAGACUUACCUUAAUAAAUCUUAAAAACAAGCUUCAAAAGGUUCAAAUCACUCUUCAAGUAACUUCUUACAUGCCAGAACAAAGCCCAAUACUUAAAGAAAUACAGUAAAAUUCCAGCAUUCAACAGUGUAAAAAUCACAAUGUCUAACAUCCAAUCAAAAAUUACCAGACAUGCAAAGAAACAGAAAAAAAUAUAAUCCAUAACCAGGCGGAAAUGUGAUCAAUAGAAACAUACCCAGAAACAACAGAGAUAAUGAAACUAACAGAGUUAUUAUGAACAUUACAAAUACAUUCUAGGAUAAAAAGAAAAGCACAAAUAUAGUGAUAGAAAUGGACAAGGUAAAAAAAAAUUCAAAACUAGAGGUUAAAAUACAAUACCCAAAAUGAAAAAUAGAAUGAAAUUAAGAGCAAAUUUGACACAGCAGAAUAUUCAUGAAUUUGAAAAUAGCAAUAGGAACUACACAAAGUAAAGUAUAAAGGAAAAAACUGAAAAAACAAAACAAUAUAAAAAGAACAGUUUCAGUGAGCUAUGUGGAAAUAUGAAACUGAGUAAUGUGUGCAAUAAGAGCCCAGUAAUGAGAGGAGAAAAAGGAAGAGUGUAAAAGUUAUUGGCCAAAAAUAAGGCUCAAGUUUUUCUGAAUGUCACAAAGACCAUAAACCAAAGGAGCUCAAAUAACCCCCAGCAAAAGAAACAAAAAUCUGCUCUAAGGCACAGAUAAUCAAAGUUCUGAAAACUAGUGAUAAAGAGGAAACUCUUAAGCGCAUUCAGAGAAAAAAGUAUUUUAUAUAGAGCAACAAAAAUAAGAAUGAUAGACAUUAAAAAAAAAAAAAACUGCAAACCAGGACAUAAUUGUUAUGUUUUAGAUUUGUUUUCUUGGCAGAGAGUUGGUGCUAGUUCACCACCAAUAAAAAUUUUGACGGGGACUAUCAGUACUCCACCAACCACCAGUGAUAGUUUCUUCAUUACAAACCAGCAAUUGGCCUGAUCCCAGAUCCAAAAUUCUAUUUUAGUCAGCUUCCUAGGACUAUUCUUAGUUUUGUCUCAGGUCAUAUACUCCAUCAUAUUGGGACAAAUGUUCAUGUGUAGGAGGUUACCAGAUAGAGGCCUCAGUUGAUCCAAUACACAGCUCUAGAGCAGGGAUGGCUCUUCAGAAUUAUCCCAAAUUGAGAGAAGAGGCUGGGCCUUUGUACCUUCUGUAAACCAGUCACUGAAUGUGGGUUGAUUAGGGAGGAAGUGUGACCUUGGAUGAGGCAAUUCCCUUCAGCCCAGGCACCAUCUAAAGAGUACAGCCAGUAUUCCCAAUAACAGGGGAAUGAAUGACCGCACUGAGUGUGGAUUGGUGGAGAACACCUCAUAGUCACUGCAAGGGAUGCCUUAACAUUAAAGCAAACUAAAAAAGUGUUUGUGUUACUAUGAGAGGUUAUGAGAACUAAUUUUGAGGGUUGUGUGGUUUUUUUUACUUUAUAUUUGUUUAUUUAAAAGUAAUGUCGAUUUACUAGAGAUGAUUUGGAAAUGAAAAAAGUUAAAUCACCUAUAAUCUUAACCACAUGAAACUCUGAAAUAUUGGAUUAUCCUGUCUCUAGAACUAUGUGUACUCAAAGGAAAGUAGCUCUAAACAGGAAUAGGAAGCUCUUAUGUUUAGAAGAGUUGUGAGUAUAUGAAAGAUACUUUGGCUUAGUGCAGACUUAAAUAAACUGAGACAUUUCAUCUAGGGGGAAAAAAAGAGAAAGUAGCUCUCUAUCUUCUAAAUCUUAUAUGAUUGGCUAGGAUUUAGAGAUGAGCAAUAAUUUAUCUUAAAAGUUCAUGAUGAAGCUGAAAAUAUAAGACCUGCAUUCUUGUUCAUUAUGUGCAGUGUCUCAGACUUUUGUAUUUGUGGGUUUUCAUCAGUUUUCUGCUUGGAAAACUCGGAAAUGCUACAGACUGCAUCUGUCAUUAGAUUUUAGCAAUUUCAAUCUGUCUCCUUAUACUUAAGUAACCAGAUUUGUAAGGCAACACUUUCAUGCUCAAGCAAAGAGUCCUCUUUUCUAACUUAAUAUUCAUGUGUCUCCUCCAUUCACAUUUACAUUCUACCUAUUGCUAAGCUGGAAGGCUAUUAAGCAUUGCUGUUAAGCACUCACUGCUCAUUAAACAGAAAAUUGAAUUUCAACAUCAAAUUAUAAAUUAGAAGGAAUUACACAAUUUAAAAAUCACUCAGAUGUUGGUGGAAGUUUAACUUUUGGAGUCGGUGUUAUAUAACUCCUAAAGUGACUCUUUGUGUAUUUAUUUUUUAAGAAAUCUAUUAAUGUUAGAUUUGGAUGACUUGUGGGCAGCAGUGCCAUCUGCAGGCCUCCUCUGAGGCAGCUCUUUUUAGUCUCUGGUGUUUGGCUCCACUGAAUAUUUAUGGCUUCAUAAUGUCAAAUACAAAGUGGUAUUAAUAUAGAUUUAAGAAGGGUGAAGUUACAGGUAUAGAUCCUCAUUUAAACCAUUGAGUUACUAUCAACUUCAUAUCCACAUUUAUAAUUCAGAUAUUAAACACAACAUGUUAACAUGAAGAAUAUAUAUGGAAUGAGCACGGAUAUUGGAAUCAUGCAGAACUGGGUUCUAAUUGCAUCCAUAUCACUUAGCAGCUGUGUGACAUUAAAAAAUUUACUUCUCUGAGAUGCAGUUUUUUAAUAUGAGUAGGGAUUAUACUUCCUUCAUGGCAUAUUUGAGAGCUCAAAAUAGAUAAAGUGUAUAAAAUGCCUAGUACAGAAUGUGCGUACAGUGUGCCCCUAAUUGAUAGUAGUUCCCUUUCCCUUAAAAUUAAAACCAAAAUAUCAAGACCAUUUAUUGCCUUUGUACCCAGUGAGUUUAAGAGUUAUAAAAUAUAUCAUUGCCUUUUUGGAGAAAGUGGGGUUUGAAGGAACUGUCUUCCUGGGAUAUUUAUUAUCCAUCCUGUCCUCUAUGUCUUUUCAUUUUUACCUCUUCAAAAAUUUAAAUGUAGAUGUUUAUGUUGGUGGCUGCAUAGAGUAUUUCUGCAAAGUAUUUACAAGAAAUUGAUAAAUACCAGUUGCUGAAUUUUGGGGCUAUGAAGGAGCCUUGUUGUUUUAAUGUGUAUAUCCUUGGAGCUGUUUUAAUUUCUGUCAUGUACAACAUUAGUUUUUCCGCAAUAAAGCACAAAUAUUUCCUUUUUUAGGAAAGGAAAAUAACUGAGAUUAUCCUUAUAUAAAAAAUGAGUAAUUCCUUCUCUUCACUCCACCCCCCAAAAUCUUUGCUUCUAAAUGAAAGCAAACAUCAGAUUUUGGAUAAACUUGCUCUGAAAUCAUAAUAUAUAUUUUCAAGAGAACCUGUAUACAGUUUUCUUCGGAAUUGAUAAGAAUUUAAUAAACUGCCUAAGAUUUGUCCUCUGAGGAAGCAGAAGCUGACAUUAUUCAACAGCUGGCUGCAAUUAUACAAUUGUGUUGUGCUAGUAUACAACAGCUGGCUACUAUAGUAGAAUGUGACUUCCAUGGUCACUCAUGGACAUGCCCAGAAUGACACACUAGUUGAAUCACAUGGUGUGUGUUUCCGGCUGAGGCUGAGCAAAGGAGAGGCUCCACCUUCCUGUUUCAGCUCUCAUGCUGUAAACAGGUAUCCUUUUGCAGUCUUUGUAGUGCCAUGUUUUUCUCACUUUCAUGCUUCCUGUAGGUGAUUUCACUGUUUAAAAUGAGUGCUGCAAUGCUGCCUUUUGUUCCUAAAUAUGAGAAGGUGGUGAUGUGCCUGUUGAGUAAAUACAUGUGUUAGCUCUCAGCCAUCUUGGAGAGACUAUUUACCUUUGGGAAAUGAUUUUAUUUUGCCACCAGAAAAACCAACCCCCUCCCCAAGUGCUUCUCUUCUAAUACAGUCUGGAUCUUGGGAACAGGAAACAUUAAGUAGUUUUUCUUCAUUCCAGAACAUCCUGGGCCAUAGCUACACAGCAGGGAUCAAAGCAGGCACACAUCAAAAGCACCCCAACUGAGAGGAGCAGCCCUGAAGCUUCAGUGCCUUAGGCUCUUGUUAUCAUCUCUGCCUGUGAGUCAUGUGUAUCUCAUCUUUCCCCGUCUGCUGUUCCUUCUCUAGGCUCAGCAAAGAAAGCUGCUCUUUACCAAACUUUCUUAACUCAAGAUAAAAACUCCUUCCAUUUUUCCCUCCUUCUUCCUCUUAUAAUUACUAUAGUUAAGUAAUUUCAGUGAUACUCACUCAUACAUCUGACAUUUCUUAAGCCCUUUUUGUAUGCCAGAUACUAUGCUGAGUGAUGAGGCUUUUUAAAAAAUGAAUGGUACAGUCCCUACUCUCAAGGAGCUGUUGACUAAUGGAGCAAGGCAACCAACACAUAAAUGAAUAGUUCUAAUAUAGUGUGAUCAAGUCCAUAGUAGAGGCAGGCAAAAGAUCUUUUGGAAGUAAAUGGGAAGGGCACCAUUUCUCAGUAAGAUGAUGCCUUGGAUGAGUGUUUUGCCAGGCAGAGGGUUCAGGGAUGUAGGGAUAGGGUAUGAGUGGGUGAGGGUAGUCUAGACAUACACCCUAGGGAGCAAAUCAUGCGUGAAAAAUAGCAGAUGUGUUCUUGAGGGCGGGGUAAUAGAAGCAGAUCAGGAUUGCUGAGCUAUGUAUUUGAGGCAGGGAGUUAAUGGAGAUACUGCUUUAAAGAACAUCAUAAAAUUUUAUCUAACAUGUAUUUAAGAACUUGAUCUUUUGAAGGUGAACCUUACUAAAAUGUAACUUCCUUAUGUUCGGUUGAAUAACAGCCCACCAAAUAAGCUCAUGUCCUAAUACCAAAAUUUGUGAUUAUAAUACCUUAUAUGAUAAAGUAAAAAUACUUUGCAGAUAUGAUUGAAAUAAGGAUCUUGGAAUUUAGAGGUUAUCCUGAAUUAUCUGUGUAGAUUCAAUAUAAUCACAAGAAUCCUUAUAAAAGAAAGAUGGGAAGAUCAGAGACAAGAGAGUGAUGUGCAGAUGGAAGCAGAAGACACAGAAGAGGCUGUGCCGCUGGCUUCAAGAUUCAGGAAGAAGCCACAAGCCAACAAAUAUACGUGGCUUCUAAAAGCUGGAAAAGGCAAGGAAACAGAUUCUCUCCUAGAGGCUUCAGGAGGAAAGUGACUCUGUGAAACCCAUUUAGACUUCUGACCUCCAGAAACAUAAGAAAAUAAGUUUGUAUUGUUUUAGUCAUUAAGAGUGUGGAAAUGAACAGCAGGAAAUCAAUAUACUCCUUGAAAGCAAAAGUUUUUGGUUUAUUGCUGCUCUAUCUUGAACAGUACCAGAAGACACCACCCCAAAAUAUGCCUCUUUAGCAUAUGCCUUAUUUUGAGAUAAAGGCUAGUAGAACCAGAACACCUAGGAAAACUCCAAUAUCAGGGCACAAGAUUCCUUUUGGUAAAGGAAUUUUACAUGUAUGAAGGAAAUUUCCAUUUGUCAAUCUGUCUUCCUUUCCAGUACCAGAAAGAGGAUGACUUUUAACAACUCAUUCAGAAGUGUGAAUGUAACAGAUCAAAAUGAUUUUUAAGACAAACAUUCUGGAGUCCCUGUCGUGGCGCAGUGGUUAACGAAUCCGACUAGGAACCAUGAGGUUGCGGGUUUGAUCCUUGCCCUUGCUCAGUGGGUUAACGAUCCAGCGUUGCCGUGAGCUGUGGUGUAGGUUGCAGAUGCGGCUCGGAUCCCGCGUUGCUGUGGCUCUGGCGUAUGCUGGCAGCUACAGCUCGGAUUAGACCCCUAGCCUGGGAACCUCCAUAUGCCACGGGAGCGGCCCAAGAAAUGGCAAAAAGACAGAAAAAAAAAAAAAUUCUAAGAAUAAUUGCCUCAACUGCACACAACCUGGGCAGAUAUGAUCAACUUAGCUAAAGAAUGAUCAUAAGGGAGUUCCCGUCUUGGCUCAGUGGUUAACGAACCCGACUAGCAUCCAUGAGGAUAGGAGUUCCAUCCCUGGCCUCACUUAGUGGGUUAAGGAUGUGGCGUUGCCAUGACCUAUGAUGUGGGUCACAGGCUCAGCUCAGAUUCCGCUUUCCUGUGGUUCUGGCAUAGGCCGGUGGCUACAGCUCCAGUUGGACCCCUAGCCUGGGAACCUAUGUAUGCCGUGAGUGCGGCCCUAAAAAGACAAAAGACAAAAAAAAAAAAAAAUGAUUAUGAGGGAUUUACAUUGAAAAAAAUUUCUGGAAAAUCUUAUUGAAUGUGAAUUUCUGCAUUUCUGAUUAAUGCCAGGAAAAAACACUAUUGCAGUUUCAUUGAAUAUCUCACAGCUCUGGUGAACAUUUUUGUGCCAUUAUCAGCGGUUGCAGGUUGCAGACUAACUGACAAAGCUUGCAUUGUAAGCUAUUAGAAUCUACUAAUCUGCUCUUUUUUUCCCCACUCGGCUUUUUUUUUUUUUUUUUUUUUUUCAUAUGCAAGGUAAGCAGAAUCUGGAAAUAAAUCAUUCAAGUCUGAUUUGGGCAUCUUCAGUGGAUUCUCUUCUGGUAUUUCACGUUUUCAUCGUUAUAUUGAUGUCUUAUCAAAUGCUUGACCAAAUUUUUAAUUAUAAAAUAUCAUUAAAGUCCUGUAACUUAUGCCC
rnacentral:lncRNA from 1 species